GUACCAAGUCAUUAGGUUUUUCUAAUGAUCAUGUUUUUUAUAUUUGUGUAUACAGUAUUUGUUUUGACUGGGCCUUUCAACUUUGGCUGUAUGUUUCGCUUCAAAAUAACUGAUUUGAAACUCAUUUUAAAAAUAUAUCAAAUGACCUGUUGGUUUCUUCUUUUUUUCUGUUCCCUAGCAUUUGCCAAAUUCGGUGUCCCAGCUGUAACAGAAGGUGUCAAAGUUGUUGACAGUUCAGGGACUGAAAUAGAUGAUGAUGUUUUUGAGGAAAUUGUGAAGGAUCCAUCCACUGGGAUACUAACCAUCAAAUACAAAGCAGGUUUGUUACCGCUUUAAAUUUGUAAGCUAUAUUAACAUUUUUAUUCCAAUAGUGAGAAGAGGUCAAUCUUUUUUCAUAAUCAAGCUAAGUAGCUUUUGUUUUCAAACCAAACCGAUAUUCUCCAUUAGAUUAUGAGCAAAUUGUGUCCAACAUGUCUUCUUUCUCCUUUUUGCGAUGGUGGUUAGAAUCUGUCUCCAUACUAACCUCACCAAAGUCCCAAUCAUCCGUUUGUUCAUUGGACUCAGACACAAUCAUCCUUGAAGACACUCCUACCAGAAAGCGUCAGAGGCUGGACUCUGAAGCUAUGCAACUGGUGAAAUCCAUUCUUACCAAGAAAUAGGGUGGAGAAUGAUAAAUAAAUUAAUACAACCGAACUAAGUCCUUGACAGAACAGAGCAGAAGAAAAUUGGUGAAUAUACUGGCAGCUGAGAUGACGGAGAAGAAUGGAACAUCUCCGUCAAGACAGGUGAAGGAAAUGUAUGCACAAGGAAUUGUGAACUUGUUCCCCAACCCCAGAGACCCAUUUUCCAAAAAUGGCUAUGAACAUUUUUAUGAUAGCAACAGUGGUACUGGGUAUUUGGCCUGGAGAAUUAAAACUAUUCAGAGAUGCAGUGCUAAAGAAAGGCGAUCAUUUGGAGCUUUGGUGGAAGGACCAUUCGAUGAAGACAAGUUGAGAGGACCAACUGUUGGACGAGUUACCCAAUUCAUCCCAGAGAUUGUCAUUCCUGAAGAUGACUGCAAGGAAGCCAUGUCACUGCUGAAACAUUGGGCUGGUGUGGACAUGGUCAUCAAAAAGAUGAAGCUGACAUUUGCCCAUCGGCAAAACAUGGUCUUGGACCAACAGCAGUCAAGCAACAUUCUAUCUUAUUUUCCUAAUUUUAAAGACAUCAAAGACUUGGUUGAACAGGAUUUUGUUCUAAUGUUUGUAGAGGAUUAAUUAGGCAAGUUUCUGGAGAAGUGGCCAACCACAUUCAAAAAGAAGAUCAUCCAACAAUGCAGAAAGAUUCCCUCCGUCUUUGAGCUUGAGGAACUCCUGAUGGCAGCUGACCCUCCUGAGUUAAAGUUAAAGUACCAAUGACUGAGGAUGGGGCUGAAGUAAACGUUGACUUUGGUAAAAUGUUUGUUGGGACAGUGACCUCUCAUGGAUUUUGCUGCUCUUACACUUGAUCCCACCGACUGCUCUAGGUCGGAAGAGGCCAGGAAAUGUUUCUGCAUCCCAGGCUGAGAAGCAUCUUGUGGUCUUCAAGAAUAUUGGAACAAGCAUCCAAGAACAUCUUGACACCAUUACUACCAUCACUCAACCCUAUCUCCUGGUUGAGGAAGAAUACAAUCCACCAGUUCUUCAUAAUUCUCGACAAGAACGUCAUACCUUGCAGGUCACACUCCUCUCUUGGUGCUUUUGAUGAACUGUUUAAAGCACACUUUGUGUUUGCGACAUCAUACCACACCAUGCUCCACAACAUGUACACAUUCAUGCCUUACUCCAAACCAUUUGAUGUUCACAUGGCGUAUGGAACAUUGUGUUCCACAUUGUAUGUUGUCCCAUAUUGCCAUUUUAUGCAGACCUAAGGUCACCCUUUCUGUAUUCUGUCCCUAAAGUUGAUUAUCCUGCCUGACAAAAAAUAAAGGUUACUAAACGUAUUAUUAAUGUGUUUUGCACUCACUUGCUAUUUACACGACAAAGUUGGUGAGACUUAAUUUGACACUGCACAAGAGUAAAUCAAGCAGAAUGUGCACCAUUUUUUUGGGUUUUUUUCAGAAAUAGUGUGUGGUUUUAUAAUCACUGCAAAGUUAGCAUAUUUUUACUGUUUACUAAACAUGUUUUUCUUCACUGCAAGGGAGUGAAUAAUCAUCAUAUUAGUGUAUUAUCAAACCUUAUCAGAGUUGUAUUUCAACACCAAAGCAGUGUUAAUGAGCAAAUACAUUUAACUUGGUGUACAAUUAUCACCACAGAAGAGUUAAUUUAUCAACACUACUCAAGAGUAAUAGGUUGAACAACACUCCACAGUGUUACAAUGUUGACUCUAUUUAGUGUUCAUUUAACUCUAUAAAUUUAACACUAUGGAAAGAGUAAAUUUAGCACCAGUUCAGGUUAGGACCAAAUAGACGUUUGAAUAGUGUUAAAUUUAACUCUUUAAGUGUUUAUUUUACACUAUAGAAUUUACUGUGUGUACACAAAUGUGUUUUCUUUUUUUUAUUGUUUAUUGUAAUGAAUUAAGUAACAUUUAUGACAACCUUUUUGUCCUCUCCAUUUUACCCAUCCCCUUGAUCACCCCAUGGGAGGUGAGGGGAGCAGUGAGCAG